CUGCCUUGGCCUCCCAACGUGCUGGAAUUACAGAUGGUCUUUCUCUGUCACCCGCGAUGGAGUGCAGUGCUGUAGUCUCAUCUCACUGCUGUCUCCGCCUUCCAGGCUCAAGUGAUCCUGUCACCUCAGCUCCUGAGUGAAGAUCUUUGAAAGAUGGGAGUUAAUUUAAUUAAGAAUGGAAAUCUAGAGAAUUUCAGUGUUUGAAAGUAAACUUCUGAUUCUAACCGAAAUCCGGAACAGUGCUUCUUCAUGAAGCAGAGAUGUGAUGCUGCAUUAACUUUAUGAGAAACUGGGCUGAGUGUCAGCAUGGUUUUUCUGUUGAUCUUAUUGAAACCAGGGGCCACAAGUUUUCAUUUAUACAUUCAUGCUCAUUGUUGGUGUCCUUCCUCUAGGUCAUAUACUCUACAAAUGGAUGUUGUUUCUUUUUUCCUUCCCUCCCUUCCUUCCAUUCUCUAAGUCAAUGAAAUCAGUUAAAUGAGCCAGGCUCUGUGUCAGGGGCUGAUGCAUAAAUAAAUAAAUAAAUAAAUAAAUAAAUAAAUAAGACAAGUGCUCUGGCCUUUAAGGAGGCUCAA